rnacentral:lncRNA from 1 species
GGUUGAUUGAUUAUUUAUUGGGAAUUAAUACUGAGAGAGUAUACGCAAAGGCUGAGGGCACCAUGCCAUCUUCACAGAACAAGACCCUAACAGCUAACUGACGUACAAGAAACUGCAAAGUUAUACUGUAAGAACACAUAUUAAGGACCGAGGAAAGUCUGCUAAGGUGCUACGUCUAAAACUAAGUUACUUCUUGCUUCGACCCUCCCCCUUCUUUAUAUCAGUCGUCGUCUAGAGCCUCUGUCUUGAUCUCGUUGGCUCCUUGCCGGGCCAAUGCCAAGAUGGUGUGGUUUACCGCUGCCAUUUCCACGGCUAAUGAAAUGGGGUCUUGAUGGUCACUAUGGCUAGUGCUGUCAUCCUGUCAGGAAGGUGUGUGAAGGAAGGGUCACCAACUUUAGGGUAGGUGAGGGCUCAGAGUGCGGGAAGGGGUAUUCUUUUGUUGUUUGGAGCAGAUCCUCCUGUCUUCUUCUACCUUCUCUGCUUCUCUGCCUCCCUCUGAACAUCUUCC